UACAGAGACUGCGAGCGUUAUUCGGAUUCACUGGGCGUAAAGGGUGCGCAGGUGGCUAGGUGUGUUAGGCGUGAAAGCCCGGGGCUUAACCCCGGAAUUGCACCUAAAACUACUUGGCUAGAGCAUUGGAGAGGGGAGCAGAAUUCAUGGUGUAGCAGUGAAAUGCGUAGAUAUCGGGAGGAACACCUGUGGCGAAAGCGGCGCACUGGACCAUAACUGACGCUGAGGCGCGAAAGCUAGGGGAGCAAACAGG
rnacentral:rRNA from 1 species